UGGGAGUGCUGGCAUGUUUAUUUUAAGAAAAUGGGAAAGUCAACCCAACAAUUUCACUUUUCAUUCACCUACUGUCAAACCUUGUAGGUCUCCCUCAGGCAAAAAUCCAACCUGUGUCAGCAGGACUGUUGGGUUUGUCAUUUUUUUUUCUUUUUUUUUUUUUUUUAAAACGAGGCCUGUAGGAUCCAGUCCAGCAACUCUUCAACCAUCAUGUUCAGGGAUUAGUCUGUACUUGACCGGUUUCUCAUUCUUCUGAGGCAAAUUCUGUAGAAAGAACGGGACAGUGCUGCACCAAACAAGCAUAAAUGCUUUCCCUGUUUGCUUCUGGGGCCUAUGUGAGCUUCUGAGAUCAGAGACUGGGACCAAAUUUUCUUCUUGCGUUCUUCAGUGUAGUUCCUCUGAAGUCACUGCUACCAGAUAAGCUGUGUAGCAUAGCACAGCCUUAUGUGGCCACUUGGAUUGAGUGGCUUAUUUUUAGCUCAAACCUCCACCUUAAGUGAUGCCAGUUUUAAUAAUCCAUCCAGUACAGCCUUGGUGGUACCAGCAAAACUCCCGCUGCACAAGGUGCUAUGCUCGGACUGUUAAACAGAAUACAGUAGAAGUCAGACAAAAGCUUGAAAAUGUUGCAGAAUUGUGUGUGUGUUUAGACCAGUUUGUCUGGCACAUUGCAUCCUAGGGUAUGUUUUAGGGGAAGAAGCUGCACAGAUGUAACCAUUUUUUGCAACCAGUGCAACUUCUGGGGUAAAAGCUACACUGCCACUUGCUGGUUUCACUGUUCUCCCCAGAAUAGAAGUUUUAGGUAUGUUGACUUUUAUCCUGGAAUAUGAGGUGCAGGAUUUGUCAAAUGAAAUGAACAGCUGCACAUACUCUUUGUUGCACAGAAACAGCCUGGGGAAUGUGGAAACUGAUGAGUGCUACUAGAUAUAGAAAGACCACCUGAAAACCCCAUGGGUGCCAGUUCACCAUUACAAAGAUGUGACCUGGAAAUCCUUCUUAUACAUGGCUCAGUAUGUUGCACGGACCUAUAAUGGAAGCUUACAAAAAGCAACUCAUCGUCUAACAGAGCAGUUUUUCACCUGGUGCAUGCCCAAACCUGAUCCAAGCACAUCCCAUAGCACCUUGGCUACCAGAUGUGAAUUGCUAUUAAACCAACUGCUGCCUACAUUAGUUGGGAACAUUGCUUACUAAGUAUGUUCAGAUUUCUGGUUGUCUUGCACCUAGCUAUUAUCUGAUCUUAAAAAGCUACCCAGCAUUCCCCUGCCAGUGAAGGCAAUGCAAGUGUCUCUGUGACAGAAAAGCAGCUUUCUGCGGAUCGGGUAGGUCUGCAGGACAUCAUUCUCAGCUCAGGAAGCAAGAGAGGAGAUUGAGAGCACAAAAUAGCAUCUAGAAAACAGCCAGCUAAACAUAUGACUUCUAUGCCAGUUCAAUUUCCUUGGGACUUUCCCAGCAUUUUUACCCCAACUGUUUGCAAUAGUGAAAAAAAAAUGUUGAGAUUCAAGAUUUCUUUUUCUGGCCCAGGCAUCCUAAUAGUUCUUCAGCCUGGCUGCAAAACUACAUAAACAAGGAUGAAAUUCUGGCCCGUGAAAUUCAUGGCAAAACUCCCACUGAUCUGAAUGAAGCCAAACGUUCACCCCCACCUUCCAAAAUGUACGCACUCAGAUUUAAAAUACAUUUUACAAAUACAGCUUUAAAAUGUUCUUUCCAGGGCUGGAUAGAAGAAGGAACAUCAAAGAGUGCAGCCUUGCUGUUUUCAUUAAACUUUCACCAAGUUUGGCUAUCUGUGAUGAAACAACAACAGUUGUGAUCCUGCGUUCUCAUUGAGAUUGUUAUCAAAAUUAGCAAAAGCAGUUAAGUCAGAAGAGUGAGAAAGCUGUGAAUGAAGUUCGGCUCCAGCUGCUGGAACUUUCCUCCAAUGCUGCUUGUUUGUCUCCUUAACUACAAUUCAUCUUUCCUUUUUCCCUGUUGCUUACAACCUCCAGUCCUCAGUAGGAUGCUAGAUUCCUUGGCAAAGAGAUGCAGGCUGUGUCCAUUCUUCACACUCCACUGAUCAUUAACUCAUCUGCAAAAAUUCCUUCCAGAUAUCUUACAUCCUCCCUUCUGUUGCUGCAAUGCAGCAGCGUACCUCCAGACUGUCUUUGGUAUUUUAUUUUUGUGUAGAAAGCCAUAGGAACUUCAGGACGUGUGAUGAGCACCAGGCUUUCCAGAGAGCCCAUGCUGUUCGAGGAAAUGCUCUUGAGGGAGCAGCAGGCUGUACCUUGCCCAUAGAUAAGCAGCGGCGAGCAGUUCUGCAGUGAACCGCGUGGUCUCCACUCGGUAAGAAAUGUAAUCCCUCUAAGUCAACAAGGUAGGCAGGGCACCAAUAGCUUUCUCAGAACAAAACAGACAUUAUUACACCACUGGUAGUAAAGCAACAGAAGUUGACAGUACACGUCUCCAUUACCACAGUAAAGCCGUUCACAAAUACAGCCGUCUGAAUCCUCUCCAAGUGUUUGGAAUUAAGCGGGAUGCAAUGUGGCAGAAGAAAGUUGCUCCAAGGAUGGGUUUUACAUUGAGUGAGAGGAAGAGACAUUAUGCCAUGAGGAGCUGUAAAAAGAUUUCUCCAGACUCUCUCUACAGACGUGUCCCAUGCUACAAAAUUGCUGGAAUAGAGCUCUGAGAGCUCCGGCCUGCAGCAGCAACUCCAUUACCCAAGCCAGCCUUCCCCAAGUGAACAUUGAUCAACUGUCUGAAUCCAUCAUAAAAGUUUCUUUCUGUUACCAGCCUCACCACCAGGAAAACUGAAGGAAUGGUUACCAGAAAAAAAGACAAUGCAUUUUAAGAAGACCAAGAGAAAAAAUAUCUAAGUUCCCAACAUACAGGAUGGGGAGGUUUAGACUGGAUAUUAGGAAGAAUUUCUUCAUGGAAAGGGUGGUCAAGCAUUGGAAUGGGCUGCCCAGGCUAGUGGUGGAGUCCUCAUCCCGGAGUUAUUAAACAAAUGGGACUGAGUAGUUUAGGUUGAUGGUUGGACCUACUGAUACUGAAUGUCUUUUUCAAUCUAAAUGAUGCUAUGAUUUUACAGAGAAUCCACUGGCUAGGUGCAAGUUCUUCAGGGCAGGAUCAGGGUCAUGCACUGAAUGUCAGCCAGUACCGCAAUAUCAUUAUGAAAAAGGCAAACAACAUGCUGGACUUAUAAACAAGAGAAUAGCCCUCAGGACAAGUGAGGUAAUACUUCCACCCUGAGGACUGCUACCCUGUUUUGGACACAAAAACACCAACCAACUGGAAAAGGUCCAGAAGAGAGGAAGGAGAAGUAAGAGGUCUAGAAAACAGUCAUUGAGAAAGGACUGGAAGAAGUCCAUCCAUCCAGGAAUAUCCCAAUCUAUACAAAGUUGCUGGAAGUGCGGUCACCCACAGAAAAGUUUAUUUUUGAUAGCCGCAGUGUACCAGGAUGCCCAGAGUGCCAGCAUUCACACAAGUAGUGUGACAACCAUGCCAGGCAGUUUGUGAAUGUCUCCAGCUUUCAGUUGCUUUGUGUGGCAACUGAGAAGUGAAAUCAAGCAGUGAGAAGAAAUGUCUGUGAUUCCUGUCACAAGUUGUCCAAACUUUUAGUCAUUUCAUCAGGAAAACGGUUUGCAAAGUUAAAGAAAACUGUAGUUAUUCCACGAAAUUAUUUAACAGGAUGACUAACAUAUAUAUGAAAAUACUUUUAAAAAUUAAUCUAGCCAAUUGGUGAUAUUACCCUGUCAUAACACCUUGCUGCUGGCAAACACAGAACCAGUGAAGACUAAGAACUGCAGCACUCUUGCUUUGCAGAAGGACAGAAGACACUGAAAGCUGCUUUCCAUGAUUUGACCGCUGAAACCACAGGAGCCUUUGGUCAAAAGGAGAUCCAAAAUUAAAUUUUUUUGAGUUCAAGCCUGCUGCUCUCUCAGUCACCAUUGACACAUUCCCAUUCUUGUUUACCCACCAGUACAUGUUGCACGUGUACCAGCCGUGUACAUGUAAGUAAUGUAAGCAAAGUAAUGCUAAAUAAAUGCAAAGUAAUGUACAUGUAAGCAAAGUAAUGCUAAAUCUAGUCACCUUUGACCUUGCAGGGACAUUCAGAUUCAGAGUCUGAGUCGUGACUGAAGUCACAUCCCACAUCAGCACCCACAGUCAGCGUGAGAUUGAGGAUUGCCUUUCCUUACUGCCUCACCUAGUGCGUAGGCACAAAACAGGCGUAGAAAAAAAUAUAUAUCAAUAAAAACAUCCAGUUACUAUAGCACAGGGCAGAAAAGGCCUGGUUGCUCUCUGUUCAAAUCCUUGUUUGGCUGGAGGCAUGUGUGCACCACUUUCAUUUCCUCUCCUCCUCGCUUGCUCUCACACACGCAAUUUCCCUGGAGUAGGCUGCCUGGCACUCCUCAUUUCUGACUACAGCAAGUGGCCUUUCUAAUACACACACACACAAAAGAAAAAAGCUGACAGAGUCAACCUUAUCCCCAGCAGCUCCCCUUUGGUGCCAGCCAGUCCCUCUGACCUGGGCUGCUUCAUGCACAGCAGAUCAGCAGUAUGCAAGCUGGGAG